UCUCAUUAAUAGGAUUCUGACAUAAAGCAUGAACUUGGUUGUAGUGAGAAUGGCCCACUGUAAGGUAAGUAAAGGUUGACUUGGGGGUGAUUGUAAGUUGCCUAGGUAUGUAUCUAAUGUCUUUACUGGACACCAUUUAUUAAAUGUAGGGUAAUAAGGAACUUUUACUGUUUAACCUGGUCGACUGGUCUUGGUAUGUUGCAGAGAAAGUACAUAGUGGUCUUGAUGUUUGGAGACUUGUGAUAUUUUAAGG